AGAUGUUCGAAAAGAAAAGGAAGAAGAGUCAUGGGAGAGUCAUAAUUUUGGUAAAACCAUUUUCUUCCAUAUCCCACUUUUCUCACUUUCUUCUCCCACCACACCCCGAUCUAUCAACCCAAAGAGAAUAAACUCCCUUCACGCCUACUGCCAAUUCCCUUCCUUUCCCUCUUCCGCAGAUCUCUAAACCCACCAAUUCUUGUAUCAAUUUCUCACUUACCUGUUUGCAUUUUAUGCUCCCCGGUAUCUAUGUAGAAGCAGCUUUUAGUUGCGACCAAACAUUUUUUUUUCAGGUGUAUGUCAAAGGUAGUGUAUAUAUGAAAGAGUGACGAUUAGGGUUUUGGAUUUUUCUUGUGGUUUGUUGAUGGUAUGGAUACGCAAAGCUGGAAAGAUGUGUACAAGGGCAUGUCAUCUGACAAUAUCAAAGGAUUGGUUCUCGCUUUGUCCUCGAGUUUAUUCAUUGGUGCUAGCUUUAUUAUUAAGAAAAAAGGGUUAAAGAAAGCUGGUGCUUCCGGUGUCAGAGCUGGUGUUGGAGGAUACUCAUACCUGUAUGAGACACUUUGGUGGGUGGGCAUGAUAA
rnacentral:misc_RNA from 1 species